rnacentral:rRNA from 1 species
UACAUAAACAAAAUUAUUCGCCAGAGUACUACUAGCAACAGCUUAAAACUCAAAGGACUUGGCGGUGCUUUAUAUCCUUCUAGAGGAGCCUGUUCUAUAAUCGAUAAACCCCGAUAAACCUCACCAAUUCUUGCUAAUACAGUCUAUAUACCGCCAUCUUCAGCAAACCCUAAAAAGGAAAAAAAGUAAGCGUAAUUAUGAUACAUAAAAACGUUAGGUCAAGGUGUAACCUAUGAAAUGGGAAGAAAUGGGCUACAUUCUCUACACUAAGAGAAUCAAGCACGAAAGUUAUUAUGAAACCAAUAACCAAAGGAGGAUUUAGCAGUAAACUAAGAAUAGAGUGCUUAGUUGAAUUAGGCCAUGAAGCACGCACACACCGCCCGUCACCCUC